rnacentral:rRNA from 1 species
CCUACGAGAGGCAGCAGUGGGGAAUAUUGCACACUGGGGGAAACCCUGAUGCAGCGACGCCGCGGGAAGGAAGAAGUAUUGCGGUAUGUAAACUUCUAUCCGCAGGGAAGAAAAUGACGGUACCUGACUAAGAAGCACCGGCUAACUACGUGCCAGCAGCCGCGGUAAUACGUAGGGGGCAAGCUUUAUCCGGAUUUACUGGUGUUAAAGGGAGCGUAGGCGGUGUAGCAAGUCAGAAGUGAAAGCCCGGGGCUCAACUCCGGGACUGCUUUUGAAACUGUUGAACUAGAUUGUAGGACAGGUAAGUGGAAUUCCUAGUGUAGCUGUGAAAUGCGUAGAUAUUAGGAGGAACACCAGUGGCGAAGGCGGCUUACUGGACUGUAAAUGACGCUGAGGCUCGAAAGCGUGGGGAGCAAACAGGAUUAGAUACCCCUGUAGUC